rnacentral:rRNA from 1 species
CGCGGCCUAUCAGCUUGUUGGUGGGGUAAUGGCUCACCAAGGCGACGACGGGUAGCCGGCCUGAGAGGGUGACCGGCCACACUGGGACUGAGACACGGCCCAGACUCCUACGGGAGGCAGCAGUGGGGAAUAUUGCACAAUGGGCGGAAGCCUGAUGCAGCGACGCCGCGUGAGGGAUGACGGCCUUCGGGUUGUAAACCUCUUUCAGCAGGGAAGAAGCCACAAGUGACGGUACCUGCAGAAGAAGCGCCGGCUAACUACGUGCCAGCAGCCGCGGUAAUACGUAGGGCGCAAGCGUUGUCCGGAAUUAUUGGGCGUAAAGAGCUCGUAGGCGGUUUGUCGUGUCUGCUGUGAAAGCCCGGGGCUCAACCCCGGGUCCGCAGUGGGUACGGGCAGACUAGAGUGCAGUAGGGGAGACUGGAAUUCCUGGUGUAGCGGUGAAAUGCGCAGAUAUCAGGAGGAACACCGAUGGCGAAGGCAGGUCUCUGGGCUGUUACUGACGCUGAGGAGCGAAAGCAUGGGGAGCGAACAGGAUUAGAUACCCUGGUAGUCCAUGCCGUAAACGUUGGGCACUAGGUGUGGGGGACAUUCCACGUUCUCCGCGCCGUAGCUAACGCAUUAAGUGCCCCGCCUGGGGAGUACGG